UACCUGGUUGAUCCUGCCAGUAGUCAUAUGCUUGUCUCAAAGAUUAAGCCAUGCAAGUCUAAGUACGAGCUCUCGUACAGUGAAACUGCGAAUGGCUCAUUAAAUCAGUUAUGGUUCAUUUGAUCGUACAGUUUACUUGGAUAACUGUGGUAAUUCUAGAGCUAAUACAUGCGAGAAGCGCCGACCUCGCGGGAGGCGUGCAUUUAUCAGACCAAAAACCGGCCGCGUCUUCGGGCGCGUUCGCCUUGGUGACUCUGGAUAACUUUGCGGAUCGCACGGUCUAGCACCGGCGACGGAUCAUUCAAGUGUCUGCCCUAUCAACUUUCGUCGGUACGGUAUUUGCCUACCGAGGUUCUUACGGGUGACGGGGAAUCAGGGUUCGAUUCCGGAGAGGGAGCCUGAGAAACGGCUACCACAUCCAAGGAAGGCAGCAGGCGCGCAAAUUACCCAUUCCCGACGCGGGGAGGUAGUGACGAAAAAUAACAAUGCAGGACUCGUUCGAGGCCCUGUAAUUGGAAUGAGUACACUUUAAAAGCUUUAACGAGUAUCCAUUGGAGGGCAAGUCUGGUGCCAGCAGCCGCGGUAAUUCCAGCUCCAAAAGUAUAUAUUUAAGUUGUUGCGAUUCCA
rnacentral:ncRNA from 1 species